UGAUCCUACGGGAGGCAGCAGUGAGGAAUAUUGGUCAAUGGGCGGAAGCCUGAACCAGCCAAGUCGCGUGAGGGAAUAAGGCCCUACGGGUCGUAAACCUCUUUUGUCAGGGAACAAAGGCGGGGACGUGUCCCCGGAUGAGUGUACCUGAAGAAAAAGCAUCGGCUAACUCCGUGCCAGCAGCCGCGGUAAUACGGAGGAUGCGAGCGUUAUCCGGAUUUAUUGGGUUUAAAGGGUGCGCAGGCGGUCUGUUAAGUCAGCGGUCAAAGCCCGGGGCUCAACCCCGGCCCGCCGUUGAAACUGGC
rnacentral:rRNA from 1 species